UCUGGCCCAACCCUCCAAGGCCUGGUCUACACUAGGAGUUUUGGUAGUGUUUAGCUGCGUUAUUUCGAUUUAACCCUGCACCUGUCUACACAACGAAGCCCUUUCUUUCAACUUAAAGGGCCCUUAAAAUCGAUUUACUCCACCCCGAUGAGGGGAUUAGCGCUGAAAUCGGCCUUGCCAGGUUGAAUUUGGGGGACUGUGGACACAAUUUGAUGGUAUUGGCCUCCGGGAGCUAUCCCAA